rnacentral:misc_RNA from 1 species
CAAGAAGCCGAAAGGCUACUUAAAACCAUCGCGAACUUAUCCAAGUUGCUUCGGCGGCGCGGCUCCCCUCACGGGGGACCGCAGCCCCGCCUCUCAGGAGGUAAGGGCAGCCGCCGGAGGUACGAAACUCUGUAUUAUAGUGGUAUCUCUGAGUAUAAAACAAAUAAGUUA